rnacentral:lncRNA from 13 species
AUGGGAUCCCAGCCUUGGUGGGUGACAAAGGUUCAUGGCCGUGGUGGGGGAGACGAGCAAGGACCUCCUGGUGUGUCCACUCGGCUGAUGGCUGGGUGGCAGCUAAGACGAGAGGAGGCUGAGAUGGGGGUCAGGCAGGCUGGGGUGGGUACAAGAGUCUGCUUUUCUCGUGCCUAUUAUCUGGCCAGGUCCUCCACAGUAAGCUCCACAAAGGCAGGAAAGUCUGUCCGGUGUAGGACAGUGGCUGGCACACAAGGUUCAUGGGUAAACACUUGUCAGAUGAGUGAGGCUCAGAGACACGCGGUGCUCAAGGUCACACAGGGAGUCAGUCAGGGAGGAGGUGUAAAAGCAGAGCCAAGGCUCCAAGGCUGCAGUGGACAGCAAAUCCAAAGAAGUGUUCCACUCAAUUCUGGGCCCCUAGUCCCCUAACUGCAUUAGCUCCAGGAUGGAUGGGUGACAGCGAUGGAUGGAUGGACGGGCGGCUGGAUGGACAGAGUGGCAGGUGAGUGAAGGGAGUAGAGUAGAUGGGCGGAUGGACAGACAGACAGGUCGAGGGGCAGAUCCCACAGUGGGGAAGGGCUCAGCCUGUCAGGUGAGAUAGCCUGGGUUCAAACCCCAGCACUGCCACUCUCCAGGCAUGUGUCCUUGGGGGAGUCACAUAAACUGGCUGUGCCCCAGAGUCCUCAUCUCAUCUGUAAAAGGGCAGUAAUGAUGGUCCCCUCACAGGGUUACUGUGAGGAGCUUAGAACGGAGAAGGAGCUAUGUGUGUGUGUGUGUGUGUGUGUGUGUGUGUGUGUGUGUGUGUGCUGGUCUCCUGGCAGUGUUGAUAACGGCUGGGCAGAGACAGAUGAAAAGGGAGUCUGGCUGGUGAGCCAGUGGUAGGCAGACAGGCCCAUGAGCAGACUCACAUGCAGAUUGGUGGCCAAUGGGGUGGGCAGGCAGUGGGCUAUGCAACUGUGGAAGGGCCCGGGAGAUCACAUCCUCCCCAGUGGUGCCUGGGAGAUCUCAGCUCAGCUGUCAGACCUCCAGGCAGCCUUCCUGCCCAGUCCUGCAAGCCAGUGAUGACAAGUGCUCACUGGGUUUCCUGAAUUCCUUCCCUGCCAUCCCAACCCAGGUACACCCUUCCUGGUGGUGGACCAUGUGGUCUCUGGAGGCUCAGAUCUAGCUCCAAGUAGGGGUUAAUUGCCUGAGUGAAGGGAUCAUUUGUGGGGCCCUCUGAGUUCCAAGUUGCUUCAGCCAGUUAGGGCAGCUCCCCUCUUCCAGAGUCCCAGCCCCCGGCCCACCUGGCAUGGAACAGUCCUAAGCAGGGCUGUAACACUGUGUUCCUUAGUUAUUCAAAGCCUCCAGGAGGAUCCAACCCCCAGAGCCUCUCUGUUCACCCAUGGGGCUCUGCAGUUUCUGGGGUGUGNNNNNNNNNNNNNNNNNNNNNNNNNNNNNNNNNNNNNNNNNNNNNNNNNNNNNNNNNNNNNNNNNNNNNNNNNNNNNNNNNNNNNNNNNNNNNNNNNNNNUGCAGUCAGGGAAGAUACAAGAAACUAAUAAUGCAUGAACAUUUAACAUGAUAGCAGGCCGUCAUCAAUCCGUGAGGGAAAACAAAGCAAGAUGGGGGCUUACAGGAAGCUGGGGCUCUUAGGGAGGUCAGCUUGGAUGCCCCAAACCUCCACAUGCAUCCUCAGGCACCCAUGCCCCCAUGCAUGUGAGCACAUGUGUACACAUGGUCACACAUGUGCACACAGGCCCUCCAUGAGGCCCCAUAGCACUGUUGUGUCUCCAAAGGCGUGGCCCCUGCCAGCCCUCUCUGGGAGGUCUGGCUGCCUCACGCCUCUCUCAGUCUGGGCCCUCCGGUGACCCAGGCCAGGCCUGCUCCCUGGAGCCCAAGGCACAUCUGUGUUGUGCUAGGUCUGCUAGCAAAGAACCUGGGUGGCUCCUAUGCAACCAACAAUUCCGAUCCACAAUCCUUCCCUGCGCUGGUCUGAGUUAAGGCUAGAAACAGUUGAAUUCAGCAGCAUCACCCCUGUCCUCCCACACAGGGAACUCCCAACCCCAGGCCCUGGGAGAAGGAACAGACACACGCAAAUGUGUGAAUGCAGCUCCAACACUCACUGGAAGGAGAGAUGACACUGUCUGGGGAGUCUGGGAAGGCUGGUCAGAGGAGGUGAUGCCUCAUUAGGGUUUGGAGAGGGAGGUUCCAGCAGGGUCGGCCUCCCACACAUGAAGGGCCUUUGAUGUAGACACUGGACGUCCUUCCCCAGGGAAGUAGCUCAUUCAGUCAUGGGACAUUUCAAGGUGGGAAGAAGGUGUUCAUCACACGGCUGUGAUCACGUGCCCAUAUGCAGACCACUCUGUCCUGGGUGCAUGAGGAGUUCAUCUCUUAAAUCCAUGGUUCUCAACAAGGACAGUCCUCCCUCCCCAUGGGACAUUUGGCAAUGACUGGAGGAGUUGCUACUGGCAUCUCCUGGAUGGAGGCCAGGCAGGGCUGUUGGUAAACAUCCCAGUCUAGUGCACAGGACAGCCUCCACCACAAAGAAUCAUCCAGCCCCAAAUGUCAGCAGCACCAAGGUUGAGAACUCUGUCCUAAACCCUGAAAUUUUCAUUUGAUAAGUGCAAUUAUAAUGCAAUGUCUUUUUGAUGCACCAAAGGCAUUAAUGUCUUCAAUGUGAAUAUUUAAAACACACAGGUGACCUGUUUGGUGAUUUAUUUCUUAAUAAAGCAGGAGUCUUAAAACA